AUUUAAGCAUAUCAUUAAGCGGAGGAAAAGAAACCAACAGGGAUUCCCCCAGUAACGGCGAGUGAAGCGGGAACAGCCCAGCACCGAAUCGUCCGCCCGUUGGGCGGCGCGAACUGUGGUGUUUAGGUCGCCCUUCGGCCCGUUUGCCGGACGUCCAAGUCUCUCUGAUCGGGGCCUUUCCCAUGGUGGGUGUUAGGCCCGUACCGGCGUCUGGCGGCGUGGCCUGCGAGCGGCCUCGGAGUCGGGUUGCUUGUGAGUGCAGCCCAAAGCGGGUGGUAAACUCCAUCUAAGGCUAAAUACUGACACGAGUCCGAUAGCGGACAAGUACCGUGAGGGAAA
rnacentral:rRNA from 1 species